rnacentral:lncRNA from 1 species
AAGUUGUAAACUAUCCAUUUUCAACGUCCCUUUAAGAGUCGUUUUCCACCUUUUCUAAUAUUUAUGUUAAUUAACAUUUAUAUCUCUUUGGUAUAUAAUUUAUGAAAACUCUUAAAAAUACACAAAUCAUUGAAAUAUUAGUAUGUGUUUCUCUUUGCUUAUAGAAAAAAAAGAAAAAAGGAAUAAUACACUUGAUUAAUAAUACAAUUCUG